rnacentral:rRNA from 1 species
UACGGGGGGAGCAAGCGUUGUUCGGAUUUACUGGGCGUAAAGGGCGCGUAGGCGGCCACAACAAGUCACUUGUGAAAUCUCCGGGCUUAACCCGGUAGCGGCCAAGUGAUACUGUUGGGCUAGAGUGCGGAAGGGGCAACUGGAAUUCUCGGUGUAGCGGUGAAAUGCGUAGAUAUCGAGAGGAACACCUGCGGCGAAGGCGGGUUGCUGGGCCGGUACUGACGCUGAGACGCGAAAGCGUGGGGAGCGAACAGG